rnacentral:sRNA from 1 species
UCCACACGCCAGACAAGCUCAGCUUCAUCCUGGACCUCAUGAACGGUGGGGACCUGCACUACCACCUCUCCCAGCACGGGGUCUUCUCAGAGGCUGACAUGCGCUUCUAUGCGGCCGAGAUCAUCCUGGGCCUGGAGCACAUGCACAACCGCUUCGUGGUCUACCGGGACCUGAAGCCAGCCAACAUCCUUCUGGACGAGCAUGGCCACGUGCGGAUCUCGGACCUGGGCCUGGCCUGUGACUUCUCCAAGAAGAAGCCCCAUGCCAGCGUGUGAGUGCCCCCCACCCUCUCCCUCCCCACCCCUUGCCACUCCCGCUUAUGGCCCCCUUGCUCCUACAGGGGCACCCACGGGUACAUGGCUCCGGAGGUCCUGCAGAAGGGCGUGGCCUACGACAGCAGUGCCGACUGGUUCUCUCUGGGGUGCAUGCUCUUCAAGUUGCUGCGGGGGCACAGCCCCUUCCGGCAGCACAAGACCAAAGACAAGCAUGAGAUCGACCGCAUGACGCUGACGAUGGCCGUGGAGCUGCCCGACUCCUUCUCCCCUGAACUACGCUCCCUGCUGGAGGGGUUGCUGCAGAGGGAUGUCAACCGGAGAUUGGGCUGCCUGGGCCGAGGGGCUCAGGAGGUGAAAGAGAGCCCCUUUUUCCGCUCCCUGGACUGGCAGAUGGUCUUCUUGCAGAAGGUAACAGUCUGUGGCAGGGACUGGGGGUGCUCUGCAGCCCCACCCCCGAGCUAAUGCCCAUGACCCCUGUUCUGCUGCAGUACCCUCCCCCGCUGAUCCCCCCACGAGGGGAGGUGAACGCGGCCGACGCCUUCGACAUUGGCUCCUUCGAUGAGGAGGACACAAAAGGAAUCAAGGUACUGGGCC